rnacentral:rRNA from 1 species
UGGGGAAUUUUGGACAAUGGGCGAAAGCCUGAUCCAGCCAUGCCGCGUGAGUGAAGAAGGCCUUCGGGUUGUAAAGCUCUUUCAGACGGAAAGAAAACUUCGAGGCUAAUACCUUCGGAGGAUGACGGUACCGUAAGAAGAAGCACCGGCUAACUACGUGCCAGCAGCCGCGGUAAUACGUAGGGUGCGAGCGUUAAUCGGAAUUACUGGGCGUAAAGCGUGCGCAGGCGGUUUUGUAAGACAGCUGUGAAAUCCCCGGGCUCAACCUGGGAACUGCGGUUGUGACUGCAAGACUUGAGUACGGCAGAGGGGGGUGGAAUUCCUGGUGUAGCAGUGAAAUGCGUAGAUAUCAGGAGGAACACCGAUGGCGAAGGCAGCCCCCUGGGCCUGUACUGACGCU